rnacentral:rRNA from 1 species
UACGUAGGGUGCAAGCGUUGUCCGGAAUUAUUGGGCGUAAAGAGCUCGUAGGCGGUUCGUCGCGUCGGCUGUGAAAACUCGGGGCUCAACCCCGAGCCUGCAGUCGAUACGGGCAGACUAGAGUGCUGUAGGGGAGACUGGAAUUCCUGGUGUAGCGGUGAAAUGCGCAGAUAUCAGGAGGAACACCGGUGGCGAAGGCGGGACUCUGGGCCGAUACUGACGCUGAGGAGCGAAAGCGUGGGGAGCAAACAGG